ensembl:lncRNA
UUUAGGGCUUUGAGCCUCAAAACUGAUAUAUGCCUGACAUCUGAGGAGAGGGAUGGGACUGGAGAUUGAGUUACCAACUCAAAGGCAAUGAUUCAACCAACUCUGCCUACGUAAUGAAACCCUAAUAAAAUCUCUGGAUACUGAAGUUCAGCAGAUGCAUGGGCGCAGGAGGGCGGAGAGGAGCUACUCCACGCAAAGGUCAGGAGGGGCGGCCAUGAGAAGAUACCCCUUGUCCAAGGUAAGGAGCAGCGGCUGUGCUUUGCUGGAGCAGCCAUGAAGAGAUACCCCACGUCCAAGUUGAGGAAACCAAAACACAUGAGGACAGUGAGUGACUUGGCUCAAAUUGGACAGCUUGUCGACAGCAAAGCUGGAACAAGACUCUAAGCCUCAGAUUUUCUGUGCUGACACCACCAAUCAGCUUCGACUCAGCAAGGUCACUGUUCAGACUUGACUCGUGAUUGGCUGCUGCGCUUCAGCGUGUUAUUACUGUCUGAUUUGAUCGGAGGCAGGGGGUGGUCUCCAAUCAAACAGAGAAAAGGUCCUAGAGAAGAUCUGGAAACUACCCAACUGACCCAGAGUGAUACCAGGAGCUCAGUGCAAGCACAUGCAGAGGUUCCCCAAAGAUGGGGCCAAUAUCAAGUUUCCACAGGUAAUAAAGCCUUUGUCAUCUGUCAUCAAGAGUCCAUUUCUCCAUCCUUUAAUUCUGGACUGGACUUGUAAGUUUUUUGGCCAAUCAAAUGAACCAGAAAGGACAUCAAGCUGCUACUGAACAGAGAUCUUAAGAAGUCUUGCAGCUUUCUUUGUGUCACUAUCAGAACAGACUGAGUGGAGCUGAGGGGAGAUGGAGACCAUGUGGAGCAGAAAUAAGCAGACCAGCUGAGAUCCAACCACCAGAUGAAUGAAUGAGGACAUCCUAGGCUUUCCGUCCCCAGCAGGGCUGCCGACUACAAAGAUCAGCUGAUUCCACUUAGACCAGACAUUUUGGGCUGUCCCAGUCAUCUCAGUCAACUCACAGAACACGAGCUAGAUAAUAAAUAUUUGUGGUUUUUAGGUACUAGGUUGUGGGACACUUGGAUCAUCUUUUCCUUUUGAUAUAUAAAUUCUAUCACUAUCCUUGAAUAUUUCAGUGUCCGUAUAGAGAUUUUACAGACAUCCUUUAUUAUAUGAUUUGGCUUCUUUGAAGAACUUUAC